UACGAAGGGGGCUAGCGUUGUUCGGAAUUACUGGGCGUAAAGGGCGCGUAGGCGGUGUGUCAAGUCAGGCGUGAAAGCCCCGGGCUCAACCUGGGAACGGCGCUUGAGACUGGCACGCUCGAGUUCGGGAGAGGAUGGUGGAAUUCCCAGUGUAGAGGUGAAAUUCGUAGAUAUUGGGAAGAACACCGAUGGCGAAGGCAGCUAUCUGGACCGACACUGACGCUGAGGCGCGAAAGCGUGGGGAGCAAACAGG
rnacentral:rRNA from 1 species